UACGGGGGGGGCAAGCGUUGUUCGGAAUUACUGGGCGUAAAGGGCUCGUAGGCGGCCAACUAAGUCGGACGUGAAAUCCCACGGCUUACCCGUGGAACGGUCCGGCAUACUGCGGUGCUAGAGGAUGGUAGAGGAGAGCGGAACUCUUGGUGGAGCGGUGAAAUGCGUAGAUAUCAAGAGGAACACCGGUGGCGAAGGCGGCUCUCUGGUCCAUGUCUGACGCUGAGGUGCGAAAGCGUGGGGAGCAAACAGG
rnacentral:rRNA from 1 species